rnacentral:rRNA from 1 species
GACGAACGCUGGCGGCGUGCUUAACACAUGCAAGUCGAACGAAGUGGCGAACGGGUGAGUAAUACGUGGGUAACCUGCCCUGCACUUCGGGAUAAGCCUGGGAAACUGGGUCUAAUACCUGAUAGUGUGGGAUGGGCCCGCGGCCUAUCAGCUUGUUGGUGUGGUAAUGGCCUACCAAGGCGGCGACGGGUAGCCGGCCUGAGAGGGGGGACGGCAAAAUGGGGACUGAGACACGGCCCAGACUCCUAAGGGAGGCAGCAGUGGGGAAUAUUGCACAAUGGGCGGAAGCAGGAUGCAGCGACGCCGCGUGGGGGAUGACGGCCUUCGGGUUGGAAACUCCUUUCACCAUCGACGCGGUAGAUGGAGAAGAAGCACCGGCUAACUACGUGCCAGCAGCCGCGGUAAUUC